rnacentral:rRNA from 1 species
AUCGCAUGAUAGAGCAGUCAAAACUACGGUGCCACAGGAUGAGCUCGCGUCUCAUUAGCUAGUUGGUGGGGUAAAGGCCUACCAAGGCGACGAUGAGUAGCCGACCUGAGAGGGUGAUCGGCCACACUGGAACUGAGACACGGUCCAGACUCCUACGGGAGGCAGCAGUGGGGAAUAUUGCGCAAUGGGGGAAACCCUGACGCAGCAACGCCGCGUGAGUGAUGAAGGCUUUCGAGUCGUAAAACUCUGUCUUUGGGGACGAAUAAUGACGGUACCCAAGGAGGAAGCCCCGGCUAACUACGUGCCAGCAGCCGCGGUAAUACGUAGGGGGCAAGCGUUGUCCGGAAUCACUGGGCGUAAAGGGCGCGUAGGCGGUUUGUUAAGUCAGGUGUGAAAGUUUUCAGCUUAACUGGAAAAGUGCACUUGAAACUAACUUACUUGAGUACUGGAGAGGUAAGCGGAAUUCCUAGUGUAGCGGUGAAAUGCGUAGAUAUUAGGAAGAACACCGGUGGCGAAGGCGGCUUACUGGACAGAGACUGACGCUGAGGCGCGAAAGCGUGGGGAGCGAACAGGAUUAGAUACCCUGGUAGUCCACGCCGUAAACGAUGAGUAUUAGGUGUUGCCGAGAGGCAGUGCCGCAG